rnacentral:rRNA from 1 species
ACUGUGCCAGCUGGUGAAUGGCUCGGCUCGAGGGCCGACGAAGGACGUUUGCCAAGCUGCGAAAAGCUCAUGGGACCGUCAUGGGAGGGAAAGAACAUUGAGAUUUUCCGGAUCGGAAUCCGUUUUACAAUUCUUUUGGCGCAUACGGGAAACUCCCUGAAUUGAAACAUUCUCAGUAAGGGAAGGGAAAAGAAAACGCAAAACCGCGAUGUCGUCAUUAACCGCGACGCCCGCUGCGGUGAAACGCAGACACAGCCCCAAACCGAAGCGGUCUUCGGACCAAUGGUGGUUGUUCGGGUUGCAACCAAAAACGCGACCCACUCUCAGAAGUCUUUCCUGGAAGCGGAGCGUGAAACAGGGUGACAACCCCGUACGGAGAGUGCCAGUUACCGUUGGCGGUCAACUUACCAGAGUUAGCAGGGGUUCGGAUUAUCCUCUGAACAAACUCAGGCAUCCCUGGAGAAGGCUUAAACACUCCUCGAGAGCCGAUAGCGAACAAGUAGCGUGAGCGACGGCUGAAAACACCCCGAGAAGGGCGGUGCAAUAGGGGCCUGAAAUCAGCUGCCGAUUCGAGCGACAGGGCUACAAGGCGAUUCUCAAAAACGAGCGAGGAGCGCAUCCUCCAGUUAGGAAGAAGAAAGUCGAAGCCGACGUCGUUGUCGUGCGUUUUUUGAAAAAACACCAGGGAGUGGCACUUGAAUUUGGGCAAAGUCUUAACUCAAGUGAACCGAGGAAGGCGCAGCGAAACCGAUACGGCCGCAGCACAUUUACGUGCGAGGGCCACCGUGUCAAAGCGCGGGAGCAAGGUUGCGACCCGAAAAACCAGGCUAUCUUAUACGCAGGCAGGGGUGAAGCGGUGCGAAAAGGCCACGUGGGAGGCCCGUUAGAGGGUUUGGUAUUCUACAUAUCUCUCGUGAUCUGCCGCAUAGGGGGGUGAAAGCCCUCGAGCCUGCGCAACAGCUGGUUCCAACCGAAACAUGGUCGAAGCACUGACCUUCUUUUUCCGAGGUAGCCCGCGGCGGUAGAGCUACCGAUUUGGAUUGACCCCUUCCGAGAGAGUCGGCCAUCCUGUCAAACUCCAAACCCGCAGGCGCUGUAGACGAAAGGGCGAGUCCGGUGUGCAGGGGGCGUAGCCUGUGCACCAUGGAGGGGGAACAACCAGAAGGGCCGGGUUAACGGUCCCAAAUUGUAGAUUAAAGCUGCGAUUCGGAAGGUGGUCUCAAGCCCGUAAACAGCGGGAGUGAGGCUUUUAGAAGCAGCUACCCCCCUCUUAAGAAAAGGCGUAACAGCUUACGGCCGACGGGUUUGGGAGAGCGGCGCAAAAUGAUCGGGGGCUCAAAUCUAACCCCGAGACCUGGCCUGCCCGUCACAGGGGGCAACCGGGCGCCUAGGGUUGGCGUUUGUUCGGAUGAGCCGGGCGGAGAGCUCCGUGUGGACCGCUUCAGGAAACGACAAUCCUGCGCUCACAGUAUGCAGCGAUAGUUCGGCGUGAGGAACCUCGACGGGGCCUGCAUGGAGGCAAGGGUUUCCUCGGCACUGGCCACUCAGCCGAGGUCGCCGGUCCUAGAUGCACCGCAACUUCGACUGCCCCCAUCAACGCGGAACUGUGUUAAUAUUCCAGUGCCAUCGUGGCAGUAACGUCGACGCCGGUGAUGGACGCUGAGCCGGGGCCUUCGCCCCGGUCGAAAUCAUGGAAACUCGUGGAAGCCGUCACGGCACGGAAGGCGAGCGAACCGUGAGAAUAGCGCAAGGUCAAGCCGUACAUAGGGCCCGUGAAAAGACGAAGCACGAUGUCGUACCGAGAUCCGACACAGGUGCGUCUGGGGCAGCGAAAGGGGCACGGCUGUCGGGAAACCGGGACUUUGUUUAGGAAUUCGGCAAGUUAGUUCCUUUCUCUUCUUCGUUUCUGUGUAAUAUGUGUUAUGCCUGGCUGUCUACGGAGCAGGUCGCAGUUGACUCGGGGCGGCUUCCGACUGUCUAAUAUACAUUUGUGUCUCAAAUUCGCAUGACGACGGCAAUGAAUUCCCCUGGCCAGUGCUUGUGGUAUCUGAUACACCUCGUACAAAAGGGACGAAGCCCGUCAACGCGGGUAACUAUGACCUCUAGGUUAGCGUAGUACCUUGCCGCCUUCAGUAGCGGCUUGCCAUGAAUGGGAUAAACGGGGAGCGCACAUGUCACCAACUUUGGACCGCGCUGAACUGGUACGUUCCAGUGCGAUCUGGAGUACCCCCCAAGGGGAAUGCUCCCUCCCAUAGCCCAUAGAGCUUACUGGCAGGCUGUCGCUGAGACGUGGUCGCCGAUUGCAGAUAGGUAGGGACAUUACACAGGUACCUGUGUUCUCUUUCAGCAGGUCAUCCGAGUCCAGCAUUGAAUACUAACCGGUCGGUGGACUGCGACUCUCACUUCCGGGAGAGUACACCCGGGUAGCCGCGGCAGUGACUUCGGGCGGCUACGCGCCCUCGAAAAGAUAUCGGAGCGCGCCCGAGAUCUCUCAGCCGGGUCGGGAAUCCGCGAGAGCGCCAAGGAGCACAAGAUGGUCUGACAGUGUCAAUUCCCAACGAGUGCGCUGACGGCGGAAGCUGGUCCGAACCCCUAACGAGGCCUCCCCGAAAGAAAAAAAGAUGGCGCGCCGCGCCCGUAAGAGUGACAAAAAGCUUACCUUACGAUAACAGGUCGUCACCGCAAGAGCACAUAUCGGACCUUGGGGUGGCUUGCGUACCUCGAUGUCGCGUUCCCUCCACCUGCCCGCUGCAGAACGGGCAAUUGGGGGUGAGGUUGUUUCGCCCAUAAAGGAGGUCGUGAGCUGGGUUUAGGACCGCGUGAGACAGGUCGGCCUGCUAUCUAAUUGGGGGUGUCAAGUACUUGACGUGCAACGAACGGUUAGCUACGGGAGGAGGAAACUACGUUUGGUCGCACUGGUGUACCGGUUGUGUGAGGGAACGCGAAUGCCGGGUAGCCACGCGACACGGGCGUAAGGAGGCUGGAACGCAUCUAAGCUUCGAAAACCCACAUGGGAAAAGAAAGCUACCGUUGAGGUCACUCGGUAGAAGGACGAGUUUUCGAAGACUCGGGGAUGUACGCACGGAGGCAACGAGGUGUUGGAGUCCACGAGCACUAACAGACGAAGCCACAAAU